AUUGAACGCUGGCGGCAUGCCUUACACAUGCAAGUCGAACGGCAGCACGGGAGCAAUCCUGGUGGCGAGUGGCGAACGGGUGAGUAAAGUAUCGGAACGUGCCCAGUCGUGGGGGAUAACGUAGCGAAAGUUACGCUAAUACCGCAUACGAUCUAUGGAUGAAAGCGGGGGAUCGCAAGACCUCGUGCGAUUGGAGCGGCCGAUAUCAGAUUAGGUAGUUGGUGGGGUAAAGGCUCACCAAGCCGACGAUCUGUAGCUGGUCUGAGGGGACGACCAGCCACACUGGGACUGAGACACGGCCCAGACUCCUACGGGAGGCAGCAGUGGGGAAUUUUGGACAAUGGGCGAAAGCCUGAUCCAGCCAUGCCGCGUGCAGGAUGAAGGCCUUCGGGUUGUAAACUGCUUUUGUACGGAACGAAAAGGUUUGGCCUAAUAAGCUGAGCUCAUGACGGUACCGUAAGAAUAAGCACCGGCUAACUACGUGCCAGCCGCCGCAGUAA
rnacentral:rRNA from 1 species